GUAUCAUUUGGUAUUAGAGCUCAAGGCUUGAUUUUGUUCUCACAAAAUCAAUCUUGGGAAGAUCUUACCAAAGUUAAAAACAUUGUAUUGGUGUUGGACCUUGGCCGAAACUUGUAGUCUUAUGAUGUUGACUUGGCCAAGAGUUUUAUGACUAGAUAUAAUAGAAUUUUGCUUGUUUAGUGUGUUUAUAGUGUUGGUUUAUUUCUCACCAAUCCUAAAA
rnacentral:lncRNA from 1 species